GCUUGUCUCAAAGAUUAAGCCAUGCAUGUAUAAGUAUAAACGAUUUUAUCGUGAAACCGCGAACGGCUCAUUAUAACAGCUAUAAUUUACUUGAUCUUGACUUCCUACUUGGAUAACUGUGGUAAUUCUAGAGCUAAUACAUGCACCAAAGCUCCGACCUUACGGGAAGAGCGCAUUUAUUCGAACAAAACCAAGCGGCUUCGGCCGUUCGCAGUUGACUCAGAAUAACUAAGCUGAUCGCAUGGUCUUGAACCGGCGACGUGUCUUCCAAGUAUCUGCCUUAUCAACUUUCGAUGGUAGUGUAUCUGACUACCAUGGUGGUGACGGGUAACGGAGGAUAAGGGUUCGACUCCGGAGAAGGGGCCUGAGAAAUGGCCACUACGUCUAAGGAUGGCAGCAGGCGCGCAAAUUACCCACUCUCAGAAUGAGGAGGUAGUGACGAGAAAUAACGAGACCGUUCUCUACGAGGCCGGUCAUCGGAAUGGGUACAAUUUAAACCCUUUAACGAGUAUCUAUGAGAGGGCAAGUCUGGUGCCAGCAGCCGCGGUAAUUCCAGCUCUCAAAAUGCAUAGAAUUAUUGCUGCGGUUAAAAAGCUCGUAGUUGGAUCUGUGCCGGUGGACCCGGUCCACCCGAAAGGGUGCGCACUGGGCUCCCCGGCUUUCUGCCGGUUUUCCCGUCGUGGCCUUAACUGGUUGCGGCGGGUGGCUGGCGAUUUUACUUUGAACAAAUCAGAGUGCUUAAAACAGGCGUUUCGCUUGAAUGUUCGUGCAUGGAAUAAUAGAAAAGGAUUUCGGUUCUAUUUUAUUGGUUUUAUAGACUGAGAUAAUGGUUAACAGAGACAAACGGGGGCAUUCGUAUUGCUGCGUGAGAGGUGAAAUUCUUGGACC
rnacentral:rRNA from 1 species